rnacentral:lncRNA from 1 species
CUCGGUUGUGCAACAGGAGCCUGGGGACUGCAGGAGCUGCCAGCUCAGGGGCAGCUCCUUCUCUCCCCAGCACCUCAUGCCCACCUCUGCUGGGAAAUCGCUGGCCUGGUUCCUGGGGUUUCACUGAUUGGUUUCAGAGGCCCUCCUGGAAUAGGGGACCUCCUGAGAGGGGAAUGAAGAAACCUUGGCAGAGAGAAUGGCCAGUGACCCCAAUGGCAGUAUGCUGGGUCCAGAACCAGUGCUCUUUGGCUUUCUCCAUGAUGAAUGAGCACACUCACCUCCACAGGCCAGAAAGGAACAGAAAGGUCAAGGUUCGGAAUGCACACCUGUCCCCCAUCCUGUCACCAGCACAACUCUGGACUCAGCCUCCUGCCUUUGCUUCAGUGACGGGCAGUCAGUGGGGUCUGCACCCAGGGCUUGUCGGUGACCGAAGGGGCCGUGCUGCCCAGGGCCUGCAGACUUGCACACCCGGGCUUGUUACAAGCCCCUCAUCCAGCGCCGCCAGCCCCGCCUCGCCCAUCCCUGAGCCUUGAAGGAACCUCAGGUUGCUGCGGGAGCCAGGCGGGCCCAAGCCUCCUCUCCUCUUCCACCUCCUGCUGCCCUCACUUCUCACUCCUUGGUGCCCGCUGCCCCCUCAGCUGACGUAUGUCCCAUAAGGGGACGUGUAUCCCAUUUCGUGGGUGGCGCCUGCCCUUCCCCCAAAGCGUGGCACCCAGGAAGCCCUAAAACACGCAGUGGCUGUGAUCGGACAGUGAGACUCGCCCUAUGUACUACUUGCCAUGGGUGGAGUCACCUCUCCUGAAAAGGCAUAUUCAAGUCCUAGUCCAGCCCUGUGAAUGUGACCUGAAUAAGGGCAUCUUUGAAGGUAUCCUGAGUUACUGACCAACAAACCACAGCAGUUGGAAGUCAGGAUGGGGUUACCCUGCAGGGUUCAGAGGGACAGCAUCCUCUUUACACCUUGAUUUCAAACUUUUGACCUGAGACCUGUGGGGCCACACUGCCCUGAAUUUGGCAGCCUCCAGCAGGCGGUGCUGGGUGGGGCAGUCCUGGGAAAUAAAACCCUGUACUCAUGUCUUUACUACUUGUCUUUUCUGCCACGUACCAG